AAGAGAAGUAAGUUGCUUUCUUGCAAAAAAAAUGAAGCAAGUGUACAAUUAUAUUGUAAUUUUGUUUGGGAAUAGAAGUUGAAACAUCUGUUGCACCUCUAUCGUACACGAGCAAUGUUACAAUUUAAAUUAGUGCUUUUGGCACGAGGAGGAUAUUAUUAUGGAAAACGGAACAGUAAAAUGGUUCAACGCUGAAAAAGGAUUUGGAUUUAUCUCACGUGAAGAUGGAAGCGACGUAUUCGUUCACUUCUCAGCUAUCCAAGGUGACGGAUUCAAAACAUUAGAAGAAGGUCAAGCAGUGACUUUCGACGUUGAAGAAUCAGACCGCGGCCCACAAGCUGCAAACGUUGUAAAAGCUUAAUUUU
rnacentral:sRNA from 1 species